GCCACCUGAGUCCAGGAUGCUACUCUCCACAGCAAGUACCCCAGCAGAGGGAGUUCAGGUACCCAUGUUGCCAGCCUCCUUGCAACCAGAAUUUCCCAUGUGACCCACUUGUGACAGAUGAGAGGUCAAGAACUGGAUUACAUGCUACCAUACCAAC